rnacentral:rRNA from 1 species
AUUUUAUUUCGGUAAAAUCUUAGUGGCGAACGGGUGAGUAACGCGUAGGCAACCUGCCCCACAGCCGGGGACAACUUCCCGAAAGGGAGGCUAAUACCGGAUACGAACCGGGCAUCGCAUGAUGCCGGGUUGAAAGAUGGCCUCUAUUUAUACGCUAUCGCUGUGGGAUGGGCCUGCGUCCGAUUAGCUGGUUGGUGAGGUAACGGCUCACCAAGGCGACGAUCGGUAGCCGGUCUGAGAGGAUGAACGGCCACAUUGGGACUGAGACACGGCCCAGACUCC